rnacentral:rRNA from 1 species
AAAAAAGGUAAGCUACUAAGAGCGAAUGGUGGAUGCCUUGACUGGUAAAGGCGAUGAAGGACGUACUAGACUGCGAUAAGCUACGGGGAGCUGUCAAGAAGCUUUGAUCCGUAGAUUUCCGAAUGGGGCAACCCAAUGUAUAGAGAUAUACAUUACCUAUAUAGGAGCGAACGAGGGGAAUUGAAACAUCUUAGUACCCUCAGGAAAAGAAAUCAAUAGAGAUUGCGUCAGUAGCGGCGAGCGAAAGCGCAAGAGGGCAAACCCAGUGCUUGCACUGGGGGUUGUAGGACUGCAAUGUGCAAGAGGUGAGUUUAGCAGAACAUUCUGGAAAGUAUAGCCAUAGAGGGUGAUAGUCCCGUAUGCGAAAAACAAACCUUAGCUAGCAGUAUCCUGAGUAGGGCGGGACACGAGAAAUCCUGUCUGAAGCUGGGUCGACCACGAUCCAACCCUAAAUACUAAUACCAGAUCGAUAGUGCACAAGUACCGUGAGGGAAAGGUGAAAAGAACUGAGGUGAUCAGAGUGAAAUAGAACCUGAAACCAUUUGCUUACAAUCAUUCAGAGCCCUAUGUAGCAAUACAGGGUGAUGGACUGCCUUUUGCAUAAUGAGCCUGCGAGUUGUGGUGUCUGGCAAGGUUAAGCAAACGCGAAGCCGUAGCGAAAGCGAGUCUGAAUAGGGCGCUUAGUCAGAUGCUGCAGACCCGAAACGAAGUGAUCUAUCCAUGAGCAAGUUGAAGCUAGUGUAAGAACUAGUGGAGGACUGAACCCAUAGGCGUUGAAAAGCCCCGGGAUGACUUGUGGAUAGGGGUGAAAGGCCAAUCAAACUUCGUGAUAGCUGGUUCUCUCCGAAAUAUAUUUAGGUAUAGCGUUGUGUCGUAAUAUAAGGGGGUAGAGCACUGAAUGGGCUAGGGCAUACACCAAUGUACCAAACCCUAUCAAACUCCGAAUACCUUAUAUGUAAUCACAGCAGUCAGGCGGCGAGUGAUAAAAUCCGUCGUCAAGAGGGAAACAACCCAGACUACCAGCUAAGGUCCCUAAAUCUUACUUAAGUGGAAAACGAUGUGAAGUUACUUAAACAACCAGGAGGUUGGCUUAGAAGCAGCCAUCCUUUAAAGAAAGCGUAAUAGCUCACUGGUCUAGUGAUUUUGCGCGGAAAAUAUAACGGGGCUAAAGUAAGUACCGAAGCUGUAGACUUGCACACAACUUAGAUUAUUUAAGUUUAGAAUAUGAGAAACUAAGUUAUAUGUUUAGUUAUAUUUUUACUGAUUUUUAUAGAGUAAAGAUAGAAAUAAAACUUAGUAAAAUCAGUAAAAAUAUUCUUAGACUAAAGUUAAGUAGUUUAAGUUGUGUGCAAGUGGUAGGAGAGCGUUCUAUUUGCGUCGAAGGUAUACCGGUAAGGAGUGCUGGAGCGAAUAGAAGUGAGCAUGCAGGCAUGAGUAGCGAUAAUUAAUGUGAGAAUCAUUAACGCCGUAAACCCAAGGUUUCCUACGCGAUGCUCGUCAUCGUAGGGUUAGUCGGGUCCUAAGUCGAGUCCGAAAGGGGUAGACGAUGGCAAAUUGGUUAAUAUUCCAAUACCAACAUUAGUGUGCGAUGGAAGGACGCUUAGGGCUAAGGGGGCUAGCGGAUGGAAGUGCUAGUCUAAGGUCGUAGGAGGUUAUACAGGCAAAUCCGUAUAACAAUACUCCGAGAACUGAAAGGCUUUUUGAAGUCUUCGGAUGGAUAGAAGAACCCCUGAUGCCGUCGAGCCAAGAAAAGUUUCUAAGUUUAGCUAAUGUUGCCCGUACCGUAAACCGACACAGGUGGGUGGGAUGAGUAUUCUAAGGCGCGUGGAAGAACUCUCUUUAAGGAACUCUGCAAAAUAGCACCGUAUCUUCGGUAUAAGGUGUGGUUAGCUUUGUAUUAGGAUUUACUCCGAAAGCAAGGAAACUUACAACAAAGAGUCCCUCCCGACUGUUUACCAAAAACACAGCACUCUGCUAACUCGUAAGAGGAUGUAUAGGGUGUGACGCCUGCCCGGUGCUCGAAGGUUAAUUGAUGGGGUUAGCAUUAGCGAAGCUCUUGAUCGAAGCCCGAGUAAACGGCGGCCGUAACUAUAACGGUCCUAAGGUAGCGAAAUUCCUUGUCGGUUAAAUACCGACCUGCAUGAAUGGCGUAACGAGAUGGGAGCUGUCUCAAAGAGGGAUCCAGUGAAAUUGUAGUGGAGGUGAAAAUUCCUCCUACCCGCGGCAAGACGGGAAGACCCCGUGGACCUUUACUACAGCUUGACACUGCUACUUGGAUAAGAAUGUGCAGGAUAGGUGGGAGGCUUUGAGUAUAUGACGCCAGUUGUAUAUGAGCCAUUGUUGAGAUACCACUCUUUCUUAUUUGGGUAGCUAACCAGCUUGAGUUAUCCUCAAGUGGGACAAUGUCUGGUGGGUAGUUUGACUGGGGCGGUCGCCUCCCAAAUAAUAACGGAGGCUUACAAAGGUUGGCUCAGAACGGUUGGAAAUCGUUCGUAGAGUAUAAAGGUAUAAGCCAGCUUAACUGCAAGACAUACAAGUCAAGCAGAGACGAAAGUCGGUCUUAGUGAUCCGGUGGUUCUGUGUGGAAGGGCCAUCGCUCAAAGGAUAAAAGGUACCCCGGGGAUAACAGGCUGAUCUCCCCCAAGAGCUCACAUCGACGGGGAGGUUUGGCACCUCGAUGUCGGCUCAUCGCAUCCUGGGGCUGGAGCAGGUCCCAAGGGUAUGGCUGUUCGCCAUUUAAAGCGGUACGCGAGCUGGGUUCAGAACGUCGUGAGACAGUUCGGUCCCUAUCUGCCGUGGGCGUAAGAAGAUUGAAGAGAUUUGACCCUAGUACGAGAGGACCGGGUUGAACAAACCACUGGUGUAGCUGUUGUUCUGCCAAGAGCAUCGCAGCGUAGCUAAGUUUGGAAAGGAUAAACGCUGAAAGCAUCUAAGCGUGAAGCCAACUCUAAGAUGAAUCUUCUCUAAGCUCUCUAGAAGACUACUAGUUUGAUAGGCUGGGUGUGUAAUGGAUGAAAGUCCUUUAGCUGACCAGUACUAAUAGAGCGUUUGGCUUAUCUUUAAUAAAGCAU